rnacentral:tRNA from 1 species
GGAGGAUUAGCUCAGCUGGGAGAGCACCUGCCUUACAAGCAGGGGGUCGGCGGUUCGARCCCGUCAUCCUCCACCA